AAGAAGCUCUAUGUGGUUCAUCCAUUGGAACAUCAUGUACAAGUUGAUCCUUUUGAUUUGGCAAUGUGUUAACAUUUUGUUUAGCCAAUCUCCCUGCCAUUCUCUGUUGUUGCACCACCAACACAGAUGCCUUUGUCACAAAAUCUGUUGAAGCCAACAUAUCACCAACCACACCUAACUCAGGACACUCACUCCAUUGAUCAUGUCCAUGUAACAAAACAGAUUGAGGAUGUCCCCUCCCAACCAUAACUAAAUCAAAAUAAUCUAUCAUUCUUCUUAUACUAGAAGAAAAUUCUAUUCCAUCUUUCACAACUUCUUCAGUUAUCUCAAACCUUAUAUUUCCAGCAUUGUAAUAUCUAUAUUCAUCUACUAGAUCACUGUCAUGUUUUCUAUCUUUUGAAUUUUCUUCUCCGAAUGUGAGGAAUCUAACCACGGUUACAUUCACACAUUCAUGUCUAGCCAUUCUACUUGCAUAGGCUAGUGCCUCGGCAUCAUCUGCACCUCCAAUGAAGAGAACUGCAAUAUAGUAUGUUGCCUUGGAUAUUAAAAGUGAUGGAGAACCACUUAAGAUGCCUCGGUCGAUGAGGAUUCCAACCGAACAAGGAGCUCUUUCGAGGACUUUAAUGUUUACUCUUUGGAUUGCUCCAUUGUUUACCUCAACUGUUCCAUCUAUUUCCCACCUUUUAUGAAAUGGCAUGAUCAUAAUGUUGGCUCUUCUGUCUAGCGAUAUUCGACAAACAUCGUCAUUGAUUGUGUCAAAGUCAGAGAUUGAUGUGAAUGAUUGAGCAUAUGCGAACCCUUCAUUGAGCUGUACAUAUUGCUUCAAUGCAUUGUCGAGUUCAGUUGAACCACAUUUGGUUAACCGAAGCGUGUCGUGCUCUUGGUGAGCGACAAGAAUAGGCCUUGACCUUCCGAGAAGCUCUACAAGGAGAAGUGCUAUAACUGAAACAUUGCUUUCUUUGCUUGCACAUGAUGCUUCUAUGAUGUUGAGCAUUGUUGGGAUGUUUUCAUCUUUGUAAAUGCAUACCAUGAUUCGGAGCUCAGAAUCCCGCUUGGUAUGUUGUAUUGAACAUCUUUUUCCAGAAUUAUAUGGGGCUGAAGGAUCAAACAAGAGUUUUAUCAGUGGUGCUAUGAUAGCAUUUAUCACUAGAAGGGACAUCACCAUCAAAGAGAACUCUUGUUCUGAUAGUACCUGCCAUAAAAAAGAUAUUUUUAUGCAUCAUGUUAGUCACUCAGUCGAUUAAUCAAUCAAGGGUUACAUAUGUUUUUCACUUUUUAGUUGAACUUGGAUUGUGUGCAGACUGAAUUUCAUGACUGCAUGCAAUUAGCCACAUCGGUGGCCGUUUGAUAGAGAUAAAACAAUC
rnacentral:lncRNA from 1 species